rnacentral:rRNA from 1 species
CAAACUGAAGAGUUUGAUCCUGGCUCAGAACGAACGCUGGCGGCGUGGCUAAGACAUGCAAGUCGAACGGACUAUCUGCUUGGGUAACCGAAAUGAUAGUUAGUGGCGAACGGGUGAGGAACGAAUAG